CACCGCGGUUACACGGGCGGCCCAAGUUGACACACAACGGCGUAAAGAGUGGUUAGGGAAACACAUCAACUAAAGCCGAAGACCCCCAAGACUGUGGUACGCCAUCUCGGGGGAGUGAAGAUCAACUACGAAGGUGGCUUUAUAACGCCUGACCCCACGAAAGCUAAGACC
rnacentral:rRNA from 1 species